rnacentral:misc_RNA from 1 species
CAGAGUGUCAAAACUCCCAAACCCAUGUGAACAUACCUGUUGCCUCGGCGGGGCCCCAUGCUCCCCCCCAGUGCCGAUGCUUUUUAAUAAAAGCAAAGGCGGGGGGCGGGGUCCUGCCAAUGGCCCGCAAAACUCUGUUUUAUAGUGGACUUCUGAAUUUUUAUAACUUAAAAAGUUA